UACGUAGGUGGCAAGCGUUUGUCCGGAAUUAUUGGGCGUAAAGCGCGCGCAGGCGGUCCUUUAAGUCUGAUGUGAAAGCCCACGGCUCAACCGUGGAGGGUCAUUGGAAACUGGGGGACUGAGUGCAGAAGAGGAAAGCGGAAUUCCACGUGUAGCGGUGAAAUGCGUAGAGAUGUGGAGGAACACCAGUGGCGAAGGCGGCUUUCUGGUCUGUAACUGACGCUGAGACUCGAAAGCAUG
rnacentral:rRNA from 1 species